GGCGCGAAACCUUUACACUGCACGCACGUGCGAUAAGGGGACUCCGAGUGCGAGGGCAUAUCGUCCUCGCUUUCGUGUACCGUAGGGUGGUACACCAACAAGGGCUGGGCAAGACCGGUGCCAGCCGCCGCGGUAAUACCGGCAGCCCGAGUGAUGGCCGAUCUUAUUGGGCCUAAAGCGUCCGUAGCUGGCUGCGCAAGUCCGUCGGGAAAUCCACUCGCCCAACGAGUGGGCGUCCGACGGAAACUGCACAGCUUGGGACCGGAAGGCUCGAAGGGUACGUUCGGGGUAGGAGUGAAAUCCCAUAAUCCCGCACGGACCACCGAUGGCGAAAGCACUUCGAGAAAACGGAUCCGACAGUGAGGGACGAAAGCCAGGGUCUCCAACCGGAUUAGAUACCCGGGUAGUCCUGGCCGUAAACAAUGUUCGCUAGGUAUGACACAGAGGUACGUGUCUCUGUGUGCCGUAGGGAAGCCGAGA
rnacentral:rRNA from 1 species